GAUAUAAUAUCCCCAUUUAUAUUCAGAGCAGUCAACACUUUCCAGCUCUCAGAAUAAUAAAAGCACCUGCAUUUAAUAUACAUGGAAGAAUGGGAAGGCAAAUAGCAGAUAAGGCACAAUCAGCUGGUUUAGUCAGCUCAGACUGUGGUAACAAAAUACCGAAGACUGGGUGACUUAAAGAACAGAAACUUAUUUUCUCACCAUUCUGGAGGCUGGAAGUCCAAGACCAGGGGGCCAGCGUGGUCGGGUUCUGGGACUAAUCACUGAUUUCAGAAUGAUGAAUUGGCCACAGGGGAGCUUCAUUCACCAAGAAGUUUUCAGUUAUAUUCUAAAUACCAAAGAGAGAACUAAUUUUCAGAAGAUUUCUAAUGACCGGAGUGAAAAAUUAUUCAUUAUUGAAUGCUUUUGGGAGGUGGACUGAGAUUUCCACUUUAUAGUAGGAAAACUGUAAGCUUCUUCAAGGUCAUUAGAAGAGAUCUGAAUUAUCAAUUGAAGCAUGAACUACACAUUACCGAAAAUUGAAAACACCUCCCCAGAGGCACCUCCAGAUUUUAGCGAAAUCUGCUCAACAUUUCCGAGUCCCUGUGAUGGAUCAGAGGCAUUCAGAUCUCUGCAAAGACGUCAGAGGAGGAAAAACAAUAAAGUGUCUGCAUUGAUGCGCACAGGCUGAUGCUCUGCUGACGUGUCCCACGUGAACACAGCCCGCACUGCGCGUGGUCCCAUAGCCCUGGCUCUUCCUGUGCUUCUUUCUCCCCCACUCAAGAGACCAUUUGCGGAUGCAAGGGAGUGAAUGUCACCGUGAUGAUUUCCAGUGCACAUGAGCUCUGGGCAGCUUUCAUAUUUCUACAGGUUGAUGACAAGGAAGAAUAUAUAAGAACUGGCCAAGCAGUUUUCCAAAGUGGUUGUAACAUUUUACAUUCCCACCAGUGAUGUAUCAGAGUUCCAAUUGUUCCAUACCUCACCUCUACCUGCUUGUUUCAGGUAAGAUGUGGAUUCAUUCUCAGGAUCCUGACAAAUUUUAAUUUCUGGCUUUGUCCUGCGAGGGACCACAGUAAUACUGUCAAGUGACGGGACCAUUUUUUAAAAGAGCCUGCUGAGUGAACUGGUUGAAUGGAGUGCCAUGAAGGUCUUUAAUAAAUUAUAGGUGGAUUUAUGGGUUCUGCUCGGGGCCAAGGUAGGUUGGCUGAGUUGAAAUGAAAUGAGACAUAUUCAUUCAGAAGGUCCAGUGGGUCCUCAGUAUUAAGGAAAGAAGAUUCAUGAACAGAUGCUAUGUUUUUCACCUCAUAGGCUUCCUAUUCUACAUGGACAAUUGUCUCUAGGAUUGAAUAAUCCCAUCACAUGAAUGGGACACAUUGUCUAGUUGGUUACUUAGGACAAUUUCUUCAGAGUAACCCAAACUUACCUUAUGUAAAAUCAUAGGCAUGAGCAAACUCUCAAAACCAACCCCAUGGUUAAAACAGGAAAGCCUCAAAGCAAUCCAAGAUGGAUGGGCCUCGUUUGUAUUCUUAUCAUCUCUAAGAACAGGUAUGUCACAACCUCUCUUGUGACUGGUGUUUCCCAGCCUGGAUUACAUUUCUACCUCCCAUGCUCUCAUUAGGAGGAAGAGAUGACCAUAGAUGACGGGUGAAAGCUUCUGCUGAGCUCGGCCACUUGUAGGGAUGUUGUUGACUUUGUCAGUCCAUUGUGACUUUCCAUACACAUUUAUAAGUGAACCUCCUGUGAACUGUGCUCCCGAGAAAAGUGUGAAGAUGAGAAGGAGUGAGAAUCUAAAUUCGACAACAGUGUUUCCCUAAACCGGGGCCAGAGUGUUGGCAGAAGCUGUGAUGUUUGGCAAUUAUUGCUGAAAUAACUGGGAUUCUUGAAGGAGUGUUCAGGAAUCCUGAAGAUUAUGGAUGUUGAAUAUGUAUAUUGAAAGGGAGAGAGCUGUCCUAUCUCCCGCUGAAAGCAGUUACAUGGGCCUAAUUCCUCCCUGAGCACUAAUGAUGUGCAUCGGGCCUCCCCUUUCCUUGACAUGAGUUUCUCUUCAACUCUCUCUUUGGGAUGGUUGAUAAUUAACAUGGGGGUUUGCUAUCUGCCUUCAUUGAACUUGUGUGGUCAUUUUAUGCUGCUCAGCCCAGCGAUCUAGCUAGUGACAUCAUUGGGCUAAUGACUAAUGUGCCUGAAGCAAAACAAGGACAAUUCUAUCUAAAAGAAAAUUUUCUUCCCUUAUUUUCCUCUUCCAGAGGAUCAUUGGGAUGGCUAGGAUUUAUAUGUUGUGCAUGCAGUAGAAGAGCUUCUGGUAGAUAGUGCAAAGGACAAGGAAAAAAAUAAAGAAGGGAAGAUAAUGAGCAAACUCCUCUUUGUUGGAAAAAAUAUUUGCUGUUUUUCUGCCUCCGAAGUUUUCUGUAACGUUUCCUAGAAUGUUAACCUAGAAGCUCGAGUGCUUUCUGCUGGGUUUCUUUGAAGGUCCUACUCUGUGGAGAAAGGCCAACAAAAGAGCACUUCCUGAUGCAGGGGAUGGAACCAUCUCUCUUUGCUCUAGAAUCAAGUUGUAACACGAGUCUGGACAUUUGUCAGGGGGUGUCUUGACACUGGAAGAAUAGGCAAGUAAGAAAGAAAUGGAAUUAGUGAUUGAAGCGCAUUGAUAUUGUUGGGAUCUUGAUACACAUUGCCAGUUUGCACCCGAGAGAGGUUAUACCAGUUAUCCACACGCUAGCUCUGUCAGAGCAUGCUCACCACCAGUAUUGUUACCUUUCACAUCUUUACAAAUGUGAUAGACUGAAAAAGACAUUGAGCCAGACUCAAAAGGCAGCUUACUGUAUGGUUCUAUUUCCGUGACAUCCCAGAGAAGGAAAAACUAUCAGGGAAAAAAGUUGGAUUGGGGUUUGGGUAUGAGAAGGAUUGACAGGAGAGAGAUCUGAGGGAAUUUCUUAGGGCUGAUGGAAAUGUUCUAUAUCUCGAUUUUGCUGGUGCUUUCACGACUACACAUUUGUCAAAACUCACUGAACUAUACAUUUGAAAAGGGUGAAUUUUAC